AUAGACUGGGUGGCUUAAACAACAGACAUCUUUACACAGUUCUGGAGGCCAAGGACAGUUUGCCAGCAUGGAUGGUUUCUGAGAUGAGAUCUUGCUCUGUCACCCAGACUGGAGUGCAGUGGCACGAUCAUAGCUCACUGCACCCUCAAACUCCUGGACUCAAAUCAUCCUCUACCUCUGCCUCCAUGAGUAACUGGAACUACAGGUCAACACAGAUUCUCGGAAUUAAACACUUCCAUGUCCCAGAGGAUCAAAGUCACUUGCAAAAAUACCUCAAAAUGUGUUUGUCAAGAAAUUACACUUUCUCUUGAUUUUGUGGACCACUUUCUAAUUUCCAACCCAGACAAAAGCCUCCUAGUGAAGCUGGUCUUUCCUAGCACAUCCCCCUACCCCCCCAGCCACUGUCCCAUCCCUGGAUGGCCUGUCCACAGAGAGCACUGUCUGUGUGGCCACUGGGGGAGGCAGCUGCAUCCCAGAGAUGAUGGUGUCCAGGGCAUGACGAGGAAGCUCUUUGUGUGGCCUGGAGACGUCCCGGGAGCUGGCUGGCGCCCACCUUCUCUCACUUCCUUACCACCUUCUUUCUUGUGUUGCUGCUUUCUCCUUCCCAGCUCUAAACUCCCAUGGUGCUGGAGCAGCCAGAGAAGAAGUGUUACUAGACCUGCCACUGCUACCUACAGUGAGCCCCAUUCUGCACACAGAGGCUGCGGACUCCUUUUUCCCAAUCAUAGACCAGAAUGCUUGUGAAAGAAGAUGUGGCUGUUCUGCAGGUUGGAGCUCUAGGAUCGGAAGAACUCAUCUGUAUCACAUAUGAUCCAGCUGAAAGUCCCUACAAACUGGGCCCUCUGUGUCUUUAGAAGCAGCUUCCAAGGGCAGGAAGACUUCCAGAGUGCAGGACUGAGCGUGCUGCUAAUCUUGUUCUGGUCGAGAGACUGAUGAGAGAGACAAGAAUUAUGGCGCGAGAAAAGCAGCAGCAGCAGCAGCAAGUCUGCAGAGGGGAAUGCCAAACUCGCUACUGGGUGUUUUUUUUUGUUUUGUUUUGUUUUGUUUUGUUUUGUUUUGUUUUGUUUGAUACAGAGUUUCACUCUGUCACCCAGGCUGGAGUAGAGUGGUGCCAUCUCAGCUCAUUGCAACCUCUGCCCCCUGGGUUCAAGCAAUUCUCCUGCCUCAGCCUUCCGAGUAGCUGGGAUUAUAGGCAUGUGCCACCAUGCCUGGCUAAUUUUUGUAUUUUUAGUAGAGACAGGGUUUUGCCAUGUUGGCCAGGCUGGUCUCAAACUACUGACCUCAAGUGAUCCGCCCGCCUGGCCCCCCAAAGUACUGGGAUUACAGGUGUGAGCCACCAUGCCUGGCCUGCUGUGAUUUUUCAUUGAACCUAAUUAACUCAUUUUUAGCCCCUAUUUUUGGUACAAUAAUAGAACUUAGGUUGUAAUCAACUGGUGGGUUCUUUCCGCACACUGCACAGAUAAGAUCAGUCCACAGAGACCACAGCGUUGCAGUAAAGAAAGAGUUUGAUGUGAGGCCAGCCACGUGGGAAAACUGGAGUUAUCACUCAAAUCAGUCUCCCCAAAGGCUUGGAGGUCAGGAUUUUUGUGGACAAUUUGGUGGGCAGGGAGCUAGGGAAUGGGUGUUGCUGAUGGGUAGGGGGUGAAAUCAUAGGGGUGUGGAAAACAGUCCUGAUGUGCUGAGUUUUCCUCUGGGUGGGGCCACAGGACCAGCUGAAUCAUGAAUCCAGGUGGGGCCAGUGUGAAGAACGUAUCAAAAAAUCAAUCUUAGGUUCUACAAUAGUGAUGUUAUCUAUAGGAGCAAUUGGAGAAGUCACAAAGCUUGUGACCCCUGGCCACAUGACUCCUGGGCAGUAAGAGAUUACUAUGUCUACAUUUUAGCAGAGUUCAUGCCUUUCCCACAACUCUAAUCUUGUAGCCCUUCAUUAAUCUUACAAAGGCGGUUUUCAGUCCCUGAGCAAGGAGGGGUUUAUUUUUGGGAGGGACUAUUAUCAUCCUUUAUUUCAGGUUAAACUAUAAACUAGAUUCCUGCCAAAGUUGGCUUGGUCUACGUCCAGGAAUGACAAGGACAGCUGGGAGGGCAGAAGCAAGAUGGAGUCAAUUAUGUCCAAUUUAUCUUACUGUCAUAAUUUUUCAAAGGCAGUUUCAAGGUUACUAUUCUCAUGAUUCAACACAUCCUCAAGGAGUGAGAUUCAGUCUGUGUAAGUGUAUCAUGACUUUCUAUAACACGCCUUGUCAUGCACUCUUCUACCCUGCUAGAAUUGGAGUCUGGCCUCAGCUGGUUCCUACCAGCAGUACUGCCAUCACCUCAUCCUCAUCUGCCCCAUCUGUUGUUUUGGAACCACUUGUGUCCUCUGAAAUGCAUAUGUUGAAGUCCUAACCACCUGUGCCUCAGAAUGGGACUAUGUUUGGAGAAAGGGUUUUAAAGAGGUACUUAAAGUUAAAUGAGAUCAUUACUGUGAACCCUGAUCCAAAUUGACUUAUGCCCUUAUAAGAAAAGGAAAUUUGGCCACUUACACUCACAGAGGAAGAAAUCAUUUGAAGACACAGAGAGAAGAGGGCCGAGGAGAGAGGUCUCAGAGAAACCAACCCAAUGACAUUUCGUCUUGGAUUUCCAGCCCCCAGAAUUACUGGAAAAUACAUUUUUCUUGUUUAGGCCACCCAAUCUGUACUACUUUGUUAUGGCAACCCUAGCAAACUAAUGCAGUCACCAACCCAGGGUGAAAAUGGGACAUUCCCAACUCUAGCUCUUAGGCCAAGCUUAUUUGUAAUAGAUUCUUGUUUUCAAAGGAUAUAGAUAUUGAGAUUCUCAAUGUAUUUGUUAAAAUACAUUGUUUCUUGUUAAAAGCAUAAGACUUUGAAAUGUCUCUGUGUUGCAGAUAUGUAGAUGUUCUGAGCCAUAAUUUUUGGAAAAUUCUUUCAAAGAAAAGGAAAUCUACUGGACAAAUAGCAUGAUUAAUGGGGAUCUAGUGACAAAAUAAUCUGCCCUAAUUGGAUUUGUGAUGUUUUUGCAACUUGAAAUUAGCUUCAAAAUCCAACAAUAAUACGAAAGAAUGUUCAGUAUCACGAAUCAAAUUAAAACCAUAAUUAAAUCACCUCCUUUCAUUAGGGUAGCUACUAUAAAAAAAAAGUAAAACAAAACAGAAAAUAGCAACUGUCGGCAAAGAUGUGGAGAAAUUGGAACCCUUGUGAAACCAUCCCACAGUGUUGACAAGAAUUGCAUGCUGGGUUCUGGACAGAAAUAGUUCCAAUUAAGUACUAAUCAGUCUGCACUUGGGCCCACUUACUCGUUGUUAAAAGUCAUGUAGCCCUGGAUGCUGACCAUGUACAUCUGCAUUGUUCCUAUAGAUAAGAUCUCUGACAUUAGAAUCAUAAGGCUUUUGUUUAAGGAUCACUUAUGAUGUUUUUCACACCCCAAAUUCCAGCAGCCAGUUUGAAGACUCCCACAGAGUAAUGGGAUCAAUAUGAGAAUACAGCUUCUUCAUCUCCCUAUCUCAUGACUUCACCCUCUACUCUUCCAACCAAUCAGUGAUCUCCACAUUGCAGCCCAUUCCAACACUCUUAAAAACCCCUACCCCCAAAUGCCUCAGGGAGACAGAUUUGAGGUUUCUUCUCAUCUCAUUUAGUGACCCUAUGAUUAAACCCCUUUCCUUGCU
rnacentral:lncRNA from 1 species